GAUGAACGCUGGCGGCGUGGAUUAGGCAUGCAAGUCGUACGGGUCGGUGUAGCAAUACAACGGCAAGUGGCGAAAGGGAGAGUAACACGUAGAUACCUACCCUCUGGUCGGGGAUACCGCGGCAUAACCGCAAGUAAUACCCGAUAAAAUCUCCGGAUCAAAGGUGUGAUUCCGCCGGAGGAGGGGUCUGCGUUCUAUCAGCUUGUUGGUGAGGUAAUGGCUCACCAAGGCUAAGACGGAUACGGGGUGUGAGAGCAUGCCCCCGCUCACUGGGACUGAGACACUGCCCAGACACCUACGGGUGGCUGCAGUCGAGAAUCUUCGGCAAUGGGCGCAAGCCUGACCGAGCGACGCCGCGUGCGGGAUGAAGGCCUUCGGGUUGUAAACCGCUGUCGAGGGGAAUGAAGUGUAGGUGGGUACUCCCAUCUAUUUGACAGAUCCCUGGAGGAAGCAUGGGCUAAGUUCGUGCCAGCCGCCGCAGUAA
rnacentral:rRNA from 1 species